rnacentral:rRNA from 1 species
UACGGAGGGUGCGAGCGUUGUCCGGAAUCACUGGGCGUAAAGAGCUCGUAGGCGGUCUGUUGCGUCGGCUGUGAAAACCCGGGGCUCAACUCCGGGCCUGCAGCCGAUACGGGCAGACUAGAGUUCGGCAGGGGAGACUGGAAUUCCUGGUGUAGCGGUGAAAUGCGCAGAUAUCAGGAGGAACACCGGUGGCGAAGGCGGGUCUCUGGGCCGAUACUGACGCUGAGGAGCGAAAGCGUGGGGAGCAAACAGG